rnacentral:lncRNA from 1 species
UAGUGAUCAACAAAAAUAAAAUAAUAUUUGAAUCCAUCAAAUGAAUGCACUGGAGAAGUCCACACAUCAGAGAAGAGAAUUUGUAAAGGAAAAUGAGAAGCAAGGGAUGAACUUGAAAAUGGAAGCUUAUAGCUUUUAUUGCAUUGACAAGCAUUACAAUUAAAGGAUGAGGAUAUUGAGUUCGAUAAAUCUAGUUUGGAGCUGAAGAUAAUAUGUCUAAGAAUUGAAACAGAUGGAUGACCUAGCCUAUGAUGCCACUCAAACGAAGUGGUCUUGAUACUUAUAAAUGCAACUAGCAGAGAAGACGAACUUUUGGAAAUCGGCCAUUCAUAGACACCAUUCUUAGAGUGGCCCUGCAGAAGUAUUGCCCCCAUUUGUAGAUCCUUCACAUGAAAGGAAUUGGGUAAGAAUUCAAUAGCAGAGUUAUUAGUACGACAAAAUUGAGAAAUAGAGAUUAAAUUCUUUUUCAUAGAAGGGACACAAAGUACAUUAUGAAGGGAGAAAGUUUUAGUAGAUGUAGGUAAAGAGAUAGAACCGGUAUGGGUGAUUGGAAGACCUAUGCCAUCGCCAAUCAUGAUGUUGUCAGAGCCAUCAAACGGAGUAUGAAGUGAGAGAUUACCCAGAUAAGUUGUGAUGUGGUAUGAUGCGCUGCUAUGAAGAAGCUAGCUAGGAUUGGCCGAGGGAGAGUUGGUUACAACAUGUGCACGUAAUUGCUAACGUUGUGUUGGAGGAUGGUGUGGCCAUUGUGUUUGUUGAUGGAACACAUAGAGGGAGUAAAGACAGAAACUAGUAUGAAAGAUGGGCACUAUUGAACGGUAUGGCCCUAUGUUCGGCAAGCUUGGCAUUUGCCUAGGUAAGGGCGAAUGGGACGGCGAUCCGGGCCGAGGUGAGGAAGAUGCUGGCAUAGGUACAAGACUUGGUGAGUUGUGCUGCCAGGACAACCUCUUGGAAUUAGGCCGAGUGACACCAGAAUUGUUGUGAUGAGCAACAUUUGCAGAAGUUGGAAGUGAUAAUGUGGAGGACUGAUGGAGCCGCAAAGAGAGUUCCUUGUUGAUCAAUUUCUCAUGGAGUUCAUCAAAAGUAAUAGGAGUUUCAUGACCUUCAAUCAUGUCAAUGAUAGGUUUAUAGUCAUCAUCAAGGCCAUCGAGAAUUUUCUCAGUUAAAUCCUCAUUAUCCAUGGGUUUGCCAAGAGCACCGAAUUCAUUAGCACGUGUUUUGAUAAAUUGCAGGUAAUCUGUGAUUGUUUGAAAGCCCUUAACAGCAGUUUUGAUCUGAUCUUUAAUUUGUUUAAUAUGACCACGAGAGGGACGGGCAUAGGUGCUUGCAAGCCUGGUCCAAGCAUCACGUAUAGUCUUCACUUGUUGAAUGAGUGGAAUGAGAGGUGGAGUGAGAGAGCCAACCAAUGCUCCAAAGAUCAGUUUAUCCUGGCGAACCCAUGUGGAAAAAUCUCAAUUCGGGAGAGUGAUGUUAUUUUUCUGAAUGGUGGGAGAAGGGCAUGGAUGGGAACCAUCAAUAAAUUUGUAUAGGUCAUACCCAAUAAGAACAUCUUCAAGUUACAGUUUCCAGGAGAGAUAGUUGGUGGGCGUGAGUUUAACAGUAUUCGAGGCUGAGAUGUUGAUGAUUGUGAAUGGUUUAGUGGGCUCCUAUUCUUGGGGGAUAGUAAUGGGUUGAUUGUCUGCAGCCAUGGAAGAAGCCGAGAUUGAGGGAUGUAGGGAGGAGCAGCAACUGUGAUGAAAAGAGAUGGUGCAUAUCAGAAUUCCCACU